rnacentral:sRNA from 1 species
GACCUAAACCAAACGCAAGUUUGGCAUGGUCGUCAAAUCAACAAAGAGAAACAGCUCGUCAUGAGUACUUCUCUUUGUUGUCAUUGCUGGAAACGGCAGUGGGUAGCUCUCGGGCUGCC